rnacentral:rRNA from 1 species
GACGAACGCUGGCGGCGUGCUUAACACAUGCAAGUCGAACGAAGUGGCGAACGGGUGAGUAACGCGUAAUCAACCUGCCCUUCAGAGGGGGACAACAGUUGGAAACGACUGCUAAUACCGCAUACGGAAGGAGGGGAUUGCGUCUGAUUAGCUAGUUGGAGGGGUAACGGCCCACCAAGGCGAUGAUCAGUAGACGGUCUGGGAGGAUGGACGGCAACAUUGGGACUUGGACACGGCCCAGACUCCUACGGGAGGCAGCAGGGGGGAAUCUUCCGAAAUGGGCGAAAGUCUGACGAAGCAACGCCGCGUGAGUGAUGACGGCCUUCGGGUUGUAAAGCUCUGUUAAGCGGGACGCGGUACCGGAAUAGAAAGCCACGGCUAACUACGUGCCAGCCGCCGCGGUAAUUC